ACUGUGGGGUAGGAGUCCUUGAAUAAGCAGGACUUUUACCUCGGUAGGAAUGGAGAGGGAGAGCUGGCAGUGCUAUCAGGAGGGAGCCCCUGGGUUCACUGGGUGAGUCAAUAGAUAAGUGAGUGAGCAGAAGAGGAAAGUGUCAGUGCAGCUGCCUGGUCACCGUGGGCAUCUGCUGACUCGGCUUAUCACUGUGUCUCUUCUUCAGAUCACUUGAUCUGGAGGGAAUCUGCUGAUAUGUCAUGCGGACACGCAAACAUCCCUGUGGAUAAGCCCAUGAAGCGAGGAGCCAGGGCCUCCUGCCAACAGCCAUAAGCCAAAAUUAACAAUCAAGAAUCAAGACUGCGGUAUAUUAUUUAUGGAGGUAUACUGACCAAUGAAACAAUAAGACUCUGGACCCUGGAAAGAGAGAGGGUCUGAAGGCUGAGUUCAGUCACUGAUGGGCAAUUAUUGAAUCAACCAUCCCUAUCUAAUGGAACCUCCCUAAAAACCCCUAAAUGAUGGAGUUUGGAGAGCUUCCAGGUUUGUGAACACACUGAGGUGCUGGGAGGGUUGUAUGCCAAGAGCGAAUGCAAGUCUUGUGUCCCCAGCCCCGUGCCUUGACCUAUGCAUCUCUUCCAUUUAGCUGUUACUGAGUUGUAGCCUCUCAUAAUAAACUGGUAAUAGUAAGUAAUGUGUUUUCCUGAGUCCUGUAACCUGUUCUAGCAAAUUAUUGAAGCUAAGGGGGGGAUCGUGGCAACUCCUGAUUUAUAGUGGGUUGGUCAGAAGUACAGGUGGCAACCUAGGACUUGCAACAGGUAUCUUUAGCUGGGGCAGUCUUGUGGGGCUAAGUCCUUAACCUACAGGUAGUUAGUGUCAGAACUGAAUUGAAUUGUAGAACACACAGCCAGUGUUUAGGAAGCUGGAGAAUUGGUUACUGUGGGGAAAAAGAACCCACGUACUUAGUGUCAGAAGUGGUGUUAGAAAACACUAUAGGUGAUAUGAUUAUAUUUAUACA